rnacentral:tRNA from 1 species
UGAGAGUAGGCUAUGAAGGCUGCAGGGUUCAUACCUCUGAGGAGUUUUACACCUCUCAA